UUCAGCAACGGAUCUCUUGGCUCUCGCAUCGAUGAAGAACGCAGCGAAAUGCGAUAAGUAAUGUGAAUUGCAGAAUUCAGUGAAUCAUCGAAUCUUUGAACGCACCUUGCGCUCCUUGGUAUUCCGAGGAGCAUGCCUGUUUGAGUGUCAUU
rnacentral:rRNA from 2 species